CUGCUCUGCAACAAUUAAAGCAUCGGGUUGUUAUCAGCACUCUUCUCAUCCUAAGCCAAAACACAGCAUUCCACCAGCUACUAGGAAGAAAAUUAAUUCUGUGCUAACUGAAACCAGGACAUGGGUACUUAAAACUUCUAUCUUAUACAAGUAAUUUAUUUCUAUAUUGUGUAGUACAUGCUUCAAAGGACCCAGGACCAAGAUGAAAAUGUUGCUUUGGAAGCUUGUGAGUUUUGGCUGACUUUGACUGAACAGCCCAUUUGUAAAGAUGUAUUAUGUCGGCAUCUUACUAAGUAAGCUGAUAAAUGGUAUGAGAUAUUCAGAGAUAGAUAUUAUUUUGCUGAAGCAAUAUAGUUACACUGAUGAAAUAUUUUGAUGACAAGGGGAUAUUGAAGAAGAUGAAGCUAUUCCAGAUAGUGAACAGGACAUAAGACCUCGUUUUCAUCGUUCACGGACAAUGGCUCAGCAAAAUGAAGAAGAUGGUAUUGAAAAUGAUGACAAUGAUGAUGAUGAACUUGACGAUGAUGAUGAUACUAUUUCUGACUGGAAUUUAAGUUCUCUCUUCAGAAACUAGAAGAACUCAGUCAGUAUCCAGAUUUCAACAACUACCUGAUUUUUGUUCUUACAAAGUUAAAGUCUGAAGGUAAGUUUUUUUUUGAGAUAUUGACUGUUUUAUGCUCCCCCCUCCCCCCGCCUCACUUUCUUCUCUUCAGUUUGAUAGAAAUAGGAAGCUUAUUCCUGUUGUCAUCCAGCACUAUGGAGGACAGGCAGGUUCUUUAGGGACCCUUGGCAGAAUGAGGACUGCAACAGGGUUGUGGUUUCAAUUAUAGAUUUAUUUUUAUUAUUACAUUAAAAAUAUAUUAACAAUCAGUAUGGCUUAUCUACAGUUUCUAGCACUUAGCGUAGCUUAUAGUUGCACAGAAUUUCUAGAAUUGUGAGUUACACAAGCUUUUCAGUUACCUGGAUGGACCUUCUGCAGAUUGGGUCAAAUUCUUAUUGUUCACUGUGUAAUAUAAUCAUAACCUAGACUCAGGCUUUAUGUAAAAGAACAUGAGUCACUCACUCAGUCCUCUGAGGAAAAAGGUGAUGGUGGAGUGGUGGAGGCAGCCCUGGCCACUGGGUGAGGGGGAAGGAUAUCACGGGUUUUGUUGCCCGGCAGCACUUCCAGUCUAAGUCCCAAUUAGGGCUUGUUGCUGCUCGAUUUUUAUAGACAAUGCACCCUGUGCUCUUACAUUUCCCUGUUCCAGGAAGGAUGUCAUCAUCUCCUGGCAACCCCGCACCUGGGUAUUGAUAGCCCUGAGAAACUUAAUCACCCUGUCAGUUGGUUCCCCCAUACCCUCUUGGUGAUUCAGCACUUGGGUCUUGAUAACACUAAUGCUUUUUAUCACCAUGACAAAGGGUGUCCUCACACCCUGGGGCCAGAAAGGGGGAGGAGAAGGGGGCAGGGGUAUACAUUAACAGCCUGCUUACAUAUUACGGAUAUUUGCCUUAUUGCUGGUUAUGCUAACCAUACUGUCAGGGGUCAGGAGCAGGGGGUACCAGUUAUACCUAUAGUCAGUUUGCUGGUUGAUUGAUCUAUGUGGAAUCAUGGAAUGGUUUGGGUUGGAAGUGUUAUAUAUGGAGUGGUAAUUCGUGUCGAGAAAAUGGUUGAUAUUAAUAAAGAAGGGGGAGAUUUAGGAAUGUGGCC